AUGUGUUACAUUAUCACGUAUAUCCAGGACAUCUCUUCUGAACCAAGACGAAGUGGUGCUACAAAGGAAUUAUUUCUUUAGGAGAGUGCAUUUAAUAGCAGUCUGGCCUGCAACAAAAUGCACCGCUAAAAAUACAGUUUCUGCUUGUCCCAGAAUUUAUUAAUUUUGAGAGUGAAGUUGUAGGACUGAUGCUGGUUAGUGGUGUAGGUUUCAUGGAUGUGACACCUUAACUUGUGUAAAAUGACGACCAGAGCA